rnacentral:rRNA from 1 species
GACGACGCUGGCGGCAUGCCUUACACAUGCAAGUCGAACGGUAACGGGCCUUCGGGUGCCGACGAGUGGCGAACGGGUGAGUAAUGUAUCGGAACGUACCUUUCAGUGGGGGAUAACGUAGCGAAAGUUACGCUAAUACCGCAUAUUCUGUGAGCAGGAAAGCAGGGGAUCGCAAGACCUUGCGCUGAUUGAGCGGCCGAUAUCAGAUUAGCUAGUUGGUGAGGUAAAGGCUCACCAAGGCGACGAUCUGUAGCGGGUCUGAGAGGAUGAUCCGCCACACUGGAACUGAGACACGGUCCAGACUCCUACGGGAGGCAGCAGUGGGGAAUUUUGGACAAUGGGGGCAACCCUGAUCCAGCCAUGCCGCGUGAGUGAAGAAGGCCUUCGGGUUGUAAACCUCUGUCAUGGGGGAAGAAGGAAGUGACGGUACCCCAAGAGGAAGCCCCUGCUAACUACGUG